CAGAUUGAAAAUGUGUUGAAAAAUCAGGUGUCUUUCAUGUAUCAUGUAUUUUUGGCAUUGUGUCACUUAUAUGAUAAAAACAUUUCAUAAUAUGAGUAUUGGCUUUUAUUUAUUUAGGUAUUUUCAAUUUUAUUCAUAUUUUGAAUACCACAUUAUGAAUGUUUCUUCUGUAAAGAUAUGAUGAAACCUGCUUUGGUGUGUCUACAGGAGAAGGGACAUUCAAGAGCAACUGGUGAACCAGUGGCUGAAUGAGGACUUUGAGUGGUCCAGAUCCAACAGUGACAUUGACAAUACAGGAGAUUUCAACAACCUUGCUUACGCACAUGAAGAAGCAGCCGUCCACGGAGAGGAACUAGAAGGUUACAGACAACCUGCACCUGUCGAUAUUCUCACUGGACAUUUGGAUACUGAUGACAGACAGUUGAGCUCAUCUGCAAAUAUUCAUGGGCUGGACACAGAGUACCACCUGCCAGUUACACCACGCCAACACAAUACUCUGACUACUAAUACUCUCUCAUUUUCUACUGUUGGGCAUCCACAGUCUGACAGCCUGUCUCCCCCUCUGAGAGACCUCAGCCGGAUAAGCAGGCCCCAGAUUAGGAUAUCCUGGGACCCCUAAACUGUGCAAUGAAAGCUGAGCCUUGACUCUGCAUCACUAUGGAUAAAGUCUCAGCUCUUCUGUCAAACCUGUUUUUGGUGCUUUCUCUUUAUGAUAUAAUUUAAUUUAUUUAUACCAGCUGCUUUUAGGUGUCAACAGCACUGUUUGAUUUAUUUAUUUAUUUGUUUGUUUUGUAAAAUGGCAGCAGGGUAAGUGUUCGUGAUCAAAAUGCACUACAUACAGUAUAUUUAUGAUUUUGUGAUUAUAUAGUGAAAAUACUUUCUCUUUUUACGUAAAGGAAGGACUUGAAUUUCAAAUGCUCUCCAUGCUGCUGUCCUGAUACAGUGACAAAUUGUUGUUUUAAUGUAUGAUAAUGACUGUUCAGUAACUAUUGACUGAUUGUAGUAACAGGGAGAGUAGUACUGUGCAUGUUGACAUGUCUUGACAGAACCACAGUGGAUUAAAGGAUGUAGGAGUAAAUGGAACUACAGUAUCACAAAAUCAGAACGGGAGAGUUGGUAAUAAUUCACUGUUGGUUCGUCGCUACAAGCAACUCCUUUCACACUACACAGUUAUUUGGCCAAUUGUUGGUAUAAAAACAUUUGAUUUUGACACUGGGUCACUUUAUAAAAUGACUGACUGCCAGAACAAUGCACUACUGAACUAGGAAUUAGUUUUAUUUAUAUAAUUUUGCAAUAUCAAUAUUGUUUGAGCUUUA